rnacentral:lncRNA from 1 species
CCAGACCGACUUCGGUCUCGUGCUGCUCUGCAGCGGGUGAGCUCGGAGGAGGACUCCGUUGUCCGGCUGCCUCUCGGCCUCCAACCGGUGGCUACGGCUUCGUCUUGCCGUCCCCGACGUCUCUGUUGUAUCAGAUUUCAUGGAGGAGAGCUGCUGAAAGAGAAUCGGAGGAGAGAAAGUGAUUGCCUCUCCGAUCGGGUUUCCGAUUCCGGCCACGGCGGCGUGCAUGGCUGGUGGUGGUAGCUUCGUCUUGACCUGGAGAACCUCCCUGUGGCUUCAAUAUGUCGAGACGAGCAGUGGUGAGUGAGAAUCGAUGCAGAGGAGUGGUUUGAGUUUUCCGGCGUUGUUCUUCAUUUUCCGGCGAGCUUCGAAUUCGAUUCAGGUAUAAAAGUUGGACUAUUUAUUGAGUUCUACGUAUUUGUAUAAUUGAAUUCGAGUUUGAGUGUUUUUGGGAGAAGUUGGAAUUUAGGCAGGACCCGACUGCCGUGUGUGGUGGCGGAUUGGCGGUGCUGGCCUAAGCUCGUCCUUGAUUCAUUUUUGUUCAGAAAUAUGGAUUGAUGAUUAGUAUGUUGUCUGUAAUUGUUGAAAUUGUAGAAUUGGAGGUAGAGAGCUGAGUUGCAGGUUGUUCGGGUUACUGUGUUUGUGUAGGUUGCUGCGUUCAGCGUCCACAACGGUGGUGGUGGUGAUUGACUGUUCUGGGAGUACCUUUUGGCUUUACUUAGUAUAGUGAACGUUUGUGGGUACUGAGAUGAUUGAUUUACAGUUGGUUAAAGUUGGAAAGAUUGGAACUUUGGAGUUGUGUUCUAUUAACUGUGAGUGAGGGUUCAAAUAGUUCAUUCAAUAAUUUUGGGUGGUUAAUAACAGUGAAGAUGUGUUGGAUUAUUGUAAGGAGUUUGAAAGAUGUUUGUGAGAAAGUCUGGAAGGUCAACAAUGAGGAAUUUAGGUCGAGACUAGAGAGCUUGUCUUAUUUUGAGUAGUGAAGAAGAUGUUGUUUAAUUAAGAGAGGAGAUGGGGCAUUGGAGCAACAUGAACCGAGAAGUGUUGUUGACAAUAUGAAAUAAGUUCAGAACCGAGAUUGAGCAAGAUGGGUGUUCACCUGAUGUAGAUUAAGAUAGUUCUAAGCUAUUGGGUGUCCUUAGUAAAUUUCAAGGACUUGAUAGUAUCAAUUUGAAGUGACCUAUCAACAUUCUUGGAAUGAGGAUUUGGUACGAGGAUUGAGUAACUAUCGACAUUCCAAGAGCAGAAGGAUAAGGAUUUCAGAAUGCGUGCCACGGUGUUACUAAUUUUAAUUAGCGUCAGAGCUAGCGCUUGGAUUUCAGGUAGGGUCUUUCUCGGGGAAUCUUUCUUUAAAAUGAUAAUUAGAUUAUUAAUGAAAUCGGUGAAUUGUGUGCUAUUGACUGAUUAACUAUUGAAAGUUAUUGCUUUCGAUAAAAGCAUGUGUAGCAUGUGUAGUCGUUGGUUUAUAUGAUUGUUGUUAUCGCUUUCCAUAAAAGCAUGUGUUCGAUAUUUGAUUGCAUACAUAAUGCAUUGUGAGGAAUUGUGAGGAUAAUGAGAUUGGUGGUUAUGGAGAGGUGUGAAUGAGAUUGAUAGAAUAUAUAUAUUUUGUGUAGUUGAGUUUCCUCAUGGGGACUUCCAGUAGCUAUGAUCAGCCCACCUGCGUAAAUGAGUGGGGAAAGUAUGCCCCUUCGACGUAUGAGUCGAUAAAACGAUUUUUCGGGUUUCGAGACUGGGGACCAUAAGGUUAACAAAAAACUAACAAAAGAGGUACUGGAGUUUAUAUAUUACUGAUUUGUUAGGCCGUAUAUUCGAGACAUCUACAUGGUAUGAGACGUGUAGGCACAUAUGUCUUGGGUGUAUGGACUAAUUAGCCAGUAAUAGAGUGGAGGGAGUGCAUUAGCAUUUAUGCAUCGAAUUGUCGUUAUUUAUAUAAAGUAUUAUUUGUUACUUGAUAACUUGAUUUUGCUACUUAGAUAAAAAUAACCUAAGGAGGUUUGGCCCUACUGAGCGUAAACUCACCCCUAUAGAUUCUUGUUCAG